rnacentral:lncRNA from 1 species
UCGAAUUAGUCAGGGUAAGUUGAUUCGUUUUCCUGUCAACUAGAUCUAUAAAUAGAUUAAUAGAAUUAUUAGUCGCGAUAAUUGUUAUUAAUUUAGUAUACACAUAUUGUGAUGUUCGAUUUAGAUAAAUAGGUAAAUCAAGUAAUUAAGAUACACAGUUUAAAGAGUUAAUAAAAAGCUAGGAAUAAAAAUAGAUAUUCUAGUGUUAUUAUGUCAAUGGAUGUAGUCGAUGCCCUGUUGUGAUAUCCAUGGUGCUUAAUGUUUGGUUUUAAGUGUUUCAUCCUUUUAGUGUAGAUUAUCUAUAUUAUACUCGUGCUCAUACAUGUUCAUCAUGCAUUUCAUGAGGUGCGAUAAUUAAUCACGUGAUGUGGAAGAUGACUCAAGUCGACCCCAAGCGCGGGCUAAUCCGCAGGAUGAAGCUGAUGGACCAACCUGAAGAUGGUUAAAUCAAGCAAAUGUUCGGUUGAGGGAUACUCGUCAAGCGGACGUCAUCUAACAAACACUAACAUAGUGUUUAUUCCAGGCAAGCCCCGGUGCAUGCAACCCCUUUCCUUGUGUUUUAAAUACUUUUCGCACACUUUAAGUCUAGUGAAAUGUGCAUUAGGUUCAUAGGAGUUGCUUGGAACCCUUUGAUGCAUUGCUUUCCUUGAUAUCCAUACCUUUAUAGAUACUUCUGUGAAGUAUCAAAAUAUGAUUUACAAAAAUGCUUAGCCUUGCUUAGAUCUUGUGGAUAGAGGUUGUCCUCAGUCUAACCCGGGAGAGGAUGGCUUCUACCUGCAAGAAUAUUUUCAUUUGGAGCAAUAGUGGGAUCUUACUGCAAAGUUCCCUGUGAUGCUCUUUCAUCCUAAGGAACAGACACAAUCCUAAGGAUGGAAAUACUUAAAUUGAAACUUGGGUUAGGAAUAGGUGAUGUUCUACCCAGGUUGGUUAAGGAUUAAUGCGUAUGUAGGCGUGCUGACCGAGGACCCUUUAACUGGUCACAUGCCUCGUCAUGGGUAAGCCUUGCCUCGGGCAGACUAAGGCCAGAAUAAGAUAACACGAAAUGGGCGUGGAGCGGUGGCGAGAGUAGCGUGUACCCUCCGUGGCAAGAGGCUGGACGGUGGUGUAUCUGUGCUCUCGGUUUGCGUGAAGCUGAUCUGGUCUUAAGAACCCCGGUGGCGGGUUGACAUAUGCAAGGGUUAAGUGCUACAUAUGUCAUGUGAUUGGAGAUCCUGAGUUGAGUAUAAUCGAUUCGGAUCGCCGUACCUUCGCGGUUAUGAAGACUUGGUCACUUUCCUACAACCUAAAGUUAGGAUGUGAACACUAUGGAUAAAAAUGAUGUUGUAUUGAUGAGAUGUUGAAAUUAGACUAGAUGCAAAUAGAGUCUAUUAAUACUUAAUCUGGCGUUAAAAUAUUGAAAGUAAGGACUCACUUUAGUAAGCUAUUUCUGCAAAAGUAUCUAAGUUGAUUCUUGCUAAAGCCUCUCCUUGAUUCCCAAAUCCAGCAUAUCCUUGAGAGUCUUUUCUUUAGUCGAGUAAGUCUUGCUGAGUAAUUCCAUACUCAGGGUUUUAUUCCCUGUUGUUUUUCAGGUCCUAACUUUGUGAUGUUGUUGAUGGUGUUAAGUGCCGGUGGGCUCGGCCUUCUUAUAAGUCUAAGUAACUCUUCUAUACUUCUUAUUGAGGAUGGUCACUUGAGCUAGCAUAUAUUUCAAACUUAUACUUUUGUAAUCACUUCGACAAAAUAAUGUAAAUUUUUUAUAACCUGUAAAAUUUGGUAAUAAGAUUUCCGCUGCAAAAAUGUUGUGUGUGUGAUUUGUUUUACUUAAUCCCGCGGUUCUGGUUGUAAGUGGUUUAUCCGAUGUCCUUGGGGCAAUCGGACGGAUCCUGUUAAGUUAUUUAGUGCACAUGCAUAGCUGUCUGAGGUCUUUGAGACAAGGAUAGGUGCAUGUGGGCCCAAUAACUUGGGAGGUUCUGCCACAGCGGGUAUCGGAGCUGGAUUAAGUAUAUACGGUCACAUACGUAUUUUCAAAACAAAAGUUUUGGUUUUGAAAAACCUAUUUUCAACUAAACACAUUGUUUGGCUUUGAAAAACAGUUUUGAAAACUAUAAUGCUAGCGACAUCCUCUAUUAAGCCCUAAGUUAAGGACUAUCAGGUGGCUUAGUUGAAAACCAUAACCCACAACCGGGUGGGUAUUGCAUACAUGUGUAUUGUUAUUUUUGAGGCCAUUCAGUUUUGAAUGGAUCGACGCUCAGGUAAGGUGAGUUGUGAGAGCAUGACCGAACAACCGUCGGUCUAGGGAAGUGCUUAAUUGUAGCGCCUGAUUAUAUACAUGUUCUACAUAUGUAUAUAUGAAGGCUGCGAUGUGGAGUACUUACUUUUCCGGGAAUUCAGUACCCCAUGGAUGUGUAAGGGUAUACAGACAUGGGAAUACUGAGAAGUGUAAUGUACUUGUAACAACGCACCUACGUUCAGGUAAGAAGGUGAGUUACCAUAAUGAGUUGCCCUAUGGUUAAAGUGUGGCAACGGCGCCUAUGCAUGGCUCGACGCUUAAUGAUGAGCUGGCCUCCAUAUAGCAAUAUAUGGAGUAUAAACUGUGAUAAACUGUCAUGUGUGACUUGCAUCAUUGGGAAAUGGCCUGUGAUGGAUUUUUCUGCAGGUACACUAACCUCAAAAACGUAUGUGUAGCUGACGACUAGCAAAUUACCGUGAGAGAAUGUAUGCCACCGAUAUAGAACGUUAUUGCCACAAUAUGUUGGCAAAAUUAGUGAGGACGAAUAGGACGAGCAUGCAUCCUGAUUGUUGCAUCAUGUUUGUCACCUAUACACCCAAAAUGUUUCUCUCAUCUUUAUUCUAGUAACCAUUGAUUGUAGAUAAUAUGGUGUAAUGCUGAAUUAUGAACUUCGAUGAAAUAGGUGUCCUCCAUUCCUUAGGUGACCUCUUAGGGUGUUUUAUGUGCUUGCUCUUGUGCUUGAUGUGCCGAUAGUAAGUUAGUAAUUGAUUGCCUAAACCUAAAACUAGGCCAUGUUCUUAUUUUGUGAACCAUGACCCGAAUUUGAAUUUUCCGUUAUCACUCCAUGACUAAACCCAUGCAAAUAAAUGCGUAGAUAAUUUCUUUAUUAGACAUAAAUUGUGCCUAGGCUUCAACAAGAAUCUCGAGUCAUGUUUCCUUCUAAAACCAUUCCCUUGUUUAUUGGUGCAAGCUGAUGUACCUUAACCAGUUCGCCUGUUCUUAAGGAUCGCCAUGUUGAAUUAUCUUGUCGCUUUAUCAACCCAACCUAGGAAAGUCCUGCCUGAUCAUCUUCAUUAAUUUGAUUCCUUUGGUUUCCUCAUAUCUAUCAAAGGCAUACCAACUUGAUCUUAUGAUUGUUUCCCCUCCGUAUUUGAUCAGAUACUAAUCCUUGACCUUGUGAUCUCUGCGAUGGGCAUAGAAAUAUGCUUGGGACUGAAAUAACAGUCUCCCAUCGUACUCCUUUCAUUCAGUUAGGUUAUGGCCAUAUCUUGUUCAUUUCAUCGGGCCAUGAUCUAUUUGGCUCUCUACUUGUAACCAUUUUUACAGGUGGAGUAAUUCUUUGUAUAUAGUCACCCUUGCUCAAUCUAUUGGUGUCGCGUGAGAUUUCUUAUUGGUUAUGUCUGGUAAUGGUGUUAUGACUAAAAUCGGUGACACCGCGCUGAAACCGAGGGCCUCCUGUGGGUGCACACACAUGGUUGCGCUACUUGGCACGCGCUAGUAUCACAGUUAGUAUUCAUAAUCCAUUAUAAGACUAUAUUGAUAUGUUAUCUCUACACAAAUUGUUCUUACCACGUGAGAUUCAUUAUUGGUGCCAGUUUUGCAAUGGUGUCAUGGUUAAGGACUUAUGGUACCGCGGCGAAACUGAGAGCCUCCUGUGAAUGCGCACACAGGAUUUUGCUGCUUGGCGCAUGCCGGUAUCGAAGUCUCUAGUCAUGAUUCGUUAUGGAAUUACACUGAUGUGUUAUCUUCCGCUGACUCCUUCCUUGAAACGAUUUCGGUGUUGUUUGUCGAGGUGAUCAAGCAACAUCUGUCAUCUCCAUUAGAUCAAAACGACAUACCCCUUACUUGUGUGGUCUCUUUCCCCUUGACCUUGAUAGUGACUGCACGCAUAGAAGUUUCCUUUACAUCCUUUGUGUAAAGGUGAAACCUUGGAGCUUUUUAGUGUCGAGAGACAACUGAUUAGCUCUCAAAAUAGAGAUAUGUUUCCCCUGCUGUUGAAAUGCAGGAGUUUGUUCAUUCGCUCUCUUAUUUAAUCCAUAUAUUCCCUAACCAUGUGGAUGAUUCAUCUCGCAUGAGAAAAACGGAUGAACAACUUGACCAAAUAAACUUUUACCCACAUACAUAACCUCUUAUUAACAAAGAGUGAACUCUCAACCCCUUGGCUUACCAAUGGUACUGAGAGGAUUUGCUUAAUGUCAAAAGUAAUUCAACAAGUUGGUUUUGACUAACUUGUAACUGCCCAAUGAACGAAGGCUGAGUUUAGAGAUUGUUUUAUCGAGCUGUCUAAACUCACUUUUGUACAACCCCUCUUAAGGAAGUAUUUUCAAGAAUCGAGAUUAAGUCGGCCAAUAACCACCUAAUUAUCGCUCUAGUCAUGCCUCGAUCAUCCCACGUGUGCUUUUCAGCAUGAGUGAUCCGGUCGAGUCAUGCUUAGUGCUCGAUAAAGGGGAUUGAUUGUGAAGUCAACAUUUGUUGAUCAUCUUCACUAAUGUGUUCCUCGAAUUUUCAUUAUCUUCCUGGAACUUGAAUUCCUUAAAUGGCCACUUGUUGGUAAACCUCUUUCGGUGUGUUUUACCUAAGAGGUUGCAUCUGAUUCUGUUUGGGUAAAAUCGCGUAAUUGCCGCUCGCCCAACGGACUCAGAUAGUACAGUGUCAUCAGAAAAAGCAACUACACACAUGAAACCCUGUGUGUUCCUCUAGCAGAUAUCACCUCUAUUGUUGGACAUCUCUAAAUUGGCCUAAGGCAAUAUAUGUUAUGCCCACUAGAGAAACAAUAUCCUGAGACACUCGCCUUUAAUUGGAAAUGUCUCAUGAUUAUUACUGAUAUGAACAUGGGUUACAUACUUCUCUACCCUUAGAAGUCUUUCGCUCCGAAUCUCGGGACGAGAUUCUUUUAAGGGGGGGGGGCUGUAACACCCCUGGUGUUUAUAUUCUGCUCGACAACGAGUAUGAAUUUAAGCACGUAAUAUCAGUGGAUAAAACGGAUGUUAAAUUUUAAACAUCUUCGCCUAUCGCGAUUUUAAAAUCGUAUCUGUUCCGUUUGUCGCGAGUGCGACAUCAUUUUUACUUCCAUUUAUUCGGGCUCUUCCGAAGUUUUCGUGCUGUUCAGAACAUAUUUGUUCUGAAAAUCGGUGCGUCCGGUGAGUAUUUAAAAUUCAUCGCUCGCGCGAAUACAAAAUUCGGAAGCUUUACCCACUCGGACGAUUUUAUCCCGAGACAAUUAAAUAGAACCCGACGACUAAGUUUCUGGUGAAAAAUAAAGUAGUUCCCUUUUUGUCAUCCGUAAUAUCACAUCUACGGAUGUUUAAUUAAAUUGUUCUUUAGUCGAAUAUUCAGGUAGUAGUAAAAUUCGUUUAAGUUCAACUAAAUCGAAUGUCUAUUAAAACAUCGAAUCUGAUAUCGUUUAGUUUGAUCCGUUAACAGCAGACUGUUUAAAUAAAAUGAAUCCGAAGCAUGUCAUGUGUAUUUGUGUGGUGCGUUGAUCCUUUAUCUAAAAAAUGUGAUUCAAAAUAUCUUUAAUUGCCGUUAAGAAAAAGUGAGAGAAAAGAAAAUCCGGAAAAUGGAAAAAUACCCACCGUUCCUAUCUCUUCCACCGCGCGCACGGUCUUCAGAUUUUUUUUCCACGUGCAGUGCUCUUCUCUCCCGCCGUUCUCACUUUCUUCUCUGAUUUCUUGAUUCUUUCUAUCCCAGCGUCGAUCCUUAUCCCCGCCGCUCUUCUCCCCUUCAGAUCUUUCAGCCGUCAGUAUUUAUCUGCGCAGUUCCUCUGAUUCUCAUCCAUCGGCGUUCCUUCGUCCCCAGCUCGGCGCUCAAGCUCCCUUACACCGCGCGCCCUAGCAUCUGCUCACCUCUGCGCGCGCUUCUCUCCAUGGAGCGCUCGACCGGAGCUCUGCUCCCCUGCUCCUCUGCGCCGCGCCCUUGUCUUCAGCCGGCGCUACCUCUUUUUCAGCGACGUCCAGCUUCAUCUCCCUCAACUCCCACGGCCGGAACUCCCGCUGCCGCUCGGCUCUAGUGAAAGAAGCUCCCUGUGCCCAGCGCUCCCUGCUCCAUCUUCUCGUGCGCGUGCGUCCUCGCCGCGCCGAGCGCCGUGAAGUCUCUGCGCGCCGCGGGCUCGAUUCUUUCAUCCCGCGCGCGUCCCCUGUGUUUCUCUGCUCGGCCUCUGUUACUUCUGUUACUCCUCUGCGCGCAGCUGCAUCCCACUGCUUGGCUACGGCUCAUCCGUUGCGCUCGGGUCACCCUGGUAUUCUAGCUCGUCGUCGCGUUGUUUGCCGUCGACCUCGCUAAAUCGCCCCUUGCUCGACGCCGGUGAUGGCCGUCGUGGAGCACCGCUGUAAACUCCCAGCACCCUUGCCUCUGCUCCAGGAAAUAUCAAGCCUUGAACAACCAUCAAUUUGUUGCGACGUGUGUGCGCUACUCGUCCCACGUCGUCGUCUUUGUGUGUGGACAGCCCCGUCGCGGCAUGUCUGCCAAAUCAUCGCGCCCGUGCUGAGUUCCCUGGUCAUCGCGUUUUUUCUUAUAGAUGCUCAGUCUUACCGCGCGUCCUCUUUCCUGUUCGCCAGCGCGCCCUCUCGGCUCGCUCGGCUUUAAUUCCCAAUCGUGUCGUCGAUUCCACCGGUUAGCGUCAUUCGUCGUCGCGUCGCGUGUGCAGCUCUAUAUACGUCACUCUCCUGUGUCGUCGUCGUUCCACGUGUCGUCAAGAAAUUCCAAGAGUCGAGUGAAGAUGGAGCCAGCAGCAUGGUGUUCACCAAGUGCGCGACAAAAAGCUCGGACAUCCUGCGCGACUCAAGUUCGAUUCGUCAAAAUUAUUUAGUCGAGGAAAAGAUCUUCAGCAAAUGAUUAUCGAAGAAAAGAAGGCCCCUGGGUGACGUCAACCGGAACCUGUAGUCGUGCUUGCGACUAUCGCGUCGAAUUAGUCAGGGUAAGUUCAUUCGUUUUCCUGUCAACUAGAUCUAUAAAUAGAUUAAUAGAAUUAUUAGUCGCAAUAAUUAUUAUUAAUUUAGUAUACACAUAUUGUGAUGUUCGAUUUAGAUAAAUAGGUAAAUCAAGUAAUUAAGAUACACAGUUUAAAGAGUUAAUAAAAAGCUAGGAAUAAAAAUAGAUAUUCUAGUGUUAUUAUGUCAAUGGAUGUAGUCGAUGCCCUGUUGUGAUAUCCAUGGUGCUUAAUGUUUGGUUUUAAGUGUUUCAUCCUUUUAGUGUAGAUUAUCUAUAUUAUACUCGUGCUCAUACAUGUGCAUCAUGCAUUUCAUGAGGUGCGAUAAUUAAUCACGUGAUGCGGAAGAUGACUCAAGUCGACCCCAAGCGCGGGCUAAUCCGCGGGAUGAAGCUGAUGGACCAACCUGAAGAUGGUUAAAUCAAGCAAAUGUUCGGUUGAGGGAUACUCGUCAAGCGGACGUCAUCUAACAAACACUAACAUAGUGUUUAUUCCAGGCAAGCCCCGGUGCAUGCAACUCCUUUCCUUGUGUUUUAAAUACUUUUCGCACACUUUAAGUCUAGUGAAAUGUGCAUUAGGUUCAUAGGAGUUGCUUGGAACCCUUUGAUGCAUUGCUUUCCUUGAUAUCCAUACCUUUAUAGAUACUUCUGUGAAGUAUCAAAAUAUGAUUUACAAAAAUGCUUAGCCUUGCUUAGAUCUUGUGGAUAGAGGUUGUCCUCAGUCUAACCCGGGAGAGGAUGGCUUCUACCUGCAAGAAUAUUUUCAUUUGGAGCAAUAGUGGGAUCUUACUGCAAAGUUCCCUGUGAUGCUCUUUCAUCCUAAGGAACAGACACAAUCCUAAGGAUGGAAAUACUUAAAUUGAAACUUGGGUUAGGAAUAGGUGAUGUUCUACCCAGGUUGGUUAAGGAUUAAUGCGUAUGUAGGCGUGCUGACCGAGGACCCUUUAACUGGUCACAUGCCUCGUCAUGGGUAAGCCUUGCCUCGGGCAGACUAAGGCCAGAAUAAGAUAACACGAAAUGGGCGUGGAGCGGUGGCGAGAGUAGCGUGUACCCUCCGUGGCAAGAGGCUGGACGGUGGUGUAUCUGUGCUCUCGGUUUGCGUGAAGCUGAUCUGGUCUUAAGAACCCCGGUGGCGGGUUGACAUAUGCAAGGGUUAAGUGCUACAUAUGUCAUGUGAUUGGAGAUCCUGAGUUGAGUAUAAUCGAUUCGGAUCGCCGUACCUUCGCGGUUAUGAAGACUUGGUCACUUUCCUACAACCUAAAGUCAGGAUGUGAACACUAUGGAUAAAAAUGAUGUUGUAUUGAUGAGAUGUUGAAAUUAGAGUAGAUGCAAAUAGAGUCUAUUAAUACUUAAUCUGGCGUUAAAAUAUUGAAAGUAAGGACUCACUUUAGUAAGCUAUUUCUGCAAAAGUAUCUAAGUUGAUUCUUGCUAAAGCCUCUCCUUGAUUCCCAAAUCCAGCAUAUCCUUGAGAGUCUUUUCUUUAGUCGAGUAAGUCUUGCUGAGUAAUUCCAUACUCAGGGUUUUAUUCCCUGUUGUUUUUCAGGUCCUAACUUUGUGAUGUUGUUGAUGGUGUUAAGUGCCGGUGGGCUCGACCUUCUUAUAAGUCUAAGUAACUCUUCUAUACUUCUUAUUGAGGAUGGUCACUUGAGCUAGCAUAUAUUUCAAACUUAUACUUUUGUAAUCACUUCGACAAAAUAAUGUAAAUUUUUUAUAACCUGUAAAAUUUGGUAAUAAGAUUUCCGCUGCAAAAAUGUUGUGUGUGUGAUUUGUGUUACUUAAUCCCGCGGUUCUGGUUGUAAGUGGUUUAUCCGAUGUCCUUGGGGCAAUCGGACGGAUCCUGUUAAGUUAUUUAGUGCACAUGCAUAGCUGUCUGAGGUCUUUGAGACAAGGACAGGUGCAUGUGGGCCCAAUAACUUGGGAGGUUCUGCCACACUAUUCUUGGCAAUGGAAAUUCAUCCUUCGGACAAGCCUUGUUGAGAUCAGUAAAAUCAAUGCACAUUCUCCAUUUACCAUUGGCCUUCUUCACCAUAACAGUGUUAGCUAGCCAUUCUGGGUAUUUUACUUCCCUGAUGACUCCAGCGCUGAGAAGUCUUUUCACUUCAUUUCGAGCACCUUCGGCUUUGUCAUCAGACAUCUUCCGAAGCCUCUGCUUUCUGGGUCUGAAGGAUGGAUCAACAUUGAGCGAGUGUUCAAUAACAUCCCUGUUGACACCACAGAGAUCAUUAGCUGACCAUGCGAAAACAUCUUUGUUAUUGAACAGGAACCUUAUUAGGGUUUUCUCCUGCUUUUCAGACACUUGAGAUCCCAGCAGCACCCUCUGCUCUGCUAUAUCUUCACAUAAGAGCAUGGGCUUCGACUGAUCAGCCGAAGCAGCCUUCUCCCUUCUGUACUUGAAUUGCUCACAAGCUUCGGCUCUAUCUAUGUUAUGGAUUGCUUUUGAACCUGUCCAGUUUCCUUCGGCCUUUCUGGCAGCUUCCUGACUUCCAUGAAUAGCAAUAGGCCCUUGGUCCGAAGGUAUUUUCAUGCAAAGAUAUGUUGGAUGAAGAAUUGCUUCAAAAGCAUUGAGUGUCCCACGACCAAUGAUUGCAUUGUAAGGGUAUUCCAUGUCAACAAUAUCAAACACAACUUGUUCAGUCCUUGUAUUGUUGACAAAUCCGAAGGUCACUGGCAUCGUGAUCUUGCCGAGCGCUACAAUCUGCCUUCCUCCGAAGCCACAAAUGGGAUGUGUAGCAUCAUGGAUCUUAUCUUCGGGCUCUUGCAUCUGCCUGAAGGCCUUAGCAAAUAUAAUAUCCGCUGCACUGCCUGUAUCAACUAGAACAUUAUGGACCAGAAAUCCUUUGAUAACACAAGAAAUAACCAUAGCAUCAUUGUGAGGGUAAUCCUUGAGCUGAAGGUCCUCUUGAGAGAAGGUAAUUGGGAUGUGGGACCAUCUUGACUUGAUGAAGGGUCCUUGCACCCCGACAUGUUGUACCCUUCUCUGUGCCUCCUUCUUCUGCUUCUUGUUAGCUGGCUCUGAGCAUGAACCGCCUGUUAUCGGGAGUACCAGCUUUGGAGCCGAAGCAGCUCUAGCUUGGUUGUUGAACGAAGCCAUCAGCUCAAAAAAGUGGAAGUGAGUUCACCGGAGGUGGGCGCCAAUGUUGGGGACUUGUUCUCAAAUGCUAUGAAUUAAGAACAAGGCAACAUAAAAUGUUAAAUAAUAAUGCCCUUCGUCCGCUGAAACAUUAUUUCCCCAAGAAUUUAAUGAACUUCGGACGAAGGCCAUGGACAGAAUACCACGAAGGUCAUACCUUCGUGAUCAGACAUACAACAAUGCGAAAUAAAAUAUAAAAUAUUAAACAUUAGAAGAAGAUCUAUUAAAAACAAAUUACAUUUUUCAUAUAUUUCAUAAUAUGAACUUAAAUAUUAAAACAUAAUAUUUCGGUACAGUUAUACCUUCGUCUUGAUAGAAAAUAAUUCCAGCGUAAUGCGUCAACAAUUACAGUAUUGCGUGAACAGUGCAGGGGUACUGUUCACCUAUUUAUAGGCACAGGGCGCAGCCUGUGUAAAAUUACAUUUAUGUCAUUUACGAUCGACUACAAUAAUGACACAAAACUUCAUGGGUCUUUAAGUCAAACCAUCUUUAAGUCGGUUCGUCCUUUCGUCCUGAGAUCUAUCACUAUACCGAAGCUCUAUAAGUAAUAGCUUCGGCGCUGCUCCUGAGAGGAUCUGCCGAAGGUGUUCUCUUUCUUUAGGAUCUUCGGCUACGAAGCAUACACCCAAAAUUGACCGAACCACG